UACGUAGGGUGCAAGCGUUGUCCGGAAUUAUUGGGCGUAAAGAGCUCGUAGGCGGUCUGUCGCGUCGGAUGUGAAAAAUCCAGGGCUCAACCCUGGACCUGCAUUCGAUACGGGCAGACUAGAGUUCGGCAGGGGAGACUGGAAUUCCUGGUGUAGCGGUGAAAUGCGCAGAUAUCAGGAGGAACACCGGUGGCGAAGGCGGGUCUCUGGGCCGAUACUGACGCUGAGGAGCGAAAGCGUGGGGGAGCAAACAGG
rnacentral:rRNA from 1 species